UACGGAGGGUGCAAGCGUUAUCCGGAUUCACUGGGUUUAAAGGGUGCGUAGGAGGGCAGGUAAGUCAGUGGUGAAAUCUCCGAGCUUAACUUGGAAACUGCCAUUGAUACUAUCUGUCUUGAAUAUUGUGGAGGUGAGCGGAAUAUGUCAUGUAGCGGUGAAAUGCUUAGAUAUGACAAUAGCAAUACCAAUUGCGAAGCAGCUCGCUAACACAAAUAUUGACUCUGAGGCACGAAAAGCGUGGGGGAUCAAAACAGG
rnacentral:rRNA from 1 species